UGCAGUCAUAAUCUUAUUGUAAGUCAGUUCACUGCUUAAAUGGGUGAGGUGGCCUGUUUCGAUAACUCCAAUGAAUGUCAGUUUGUAGUCAGAUGCUGUGUGUGAUCUCUAGGUUCCCAGGAUUCAUCCAAAUGAAGAUUCACUGGGAUUUGCAAAUAGGAAUUUCCCAGCUGAGCAACUAAGGUUUCAGCAGCAGGUAACAAAUGAAAACUCCUCAGUCUUGCAGAAGAAGGACCAAGAAGCUGUGAUGAUUCCAGAGUAACAACUGAGAUUGCUCCGCCUUUUCAGAGAUGUCUUGACAGGUUGAUAACUUAUAGGUGCAGAAGAUUCCGUAAAGAAGAUAACGCAGAGGAAGAUGCUCCAGAGACCUGCAGUCACAAGAACAGACAGCUGAGGUUGUGAAGCAAUAAAAUAGCAAGAGAUAUGAUGCACAGAUAUGGACGAGGUUGCUCUAAAAAAUGCCAAAAGCAAUGCACUCUCUUCUGAGACUCAGCAUCAGGCUCCUUACUGAGCCUGGAGGUAGGGCUCCUGAAAUCCAGUUCCCUCUCUCAUCUACAUACCUCCUAUAGGUACCACACUGCUCCCUGGAGAUACCUUCACUUUGGCUCGGGGUCUUCUCUGUAUCCUUAUGAAUAUUCCCCCUUCAAAGUCCCGGGGCACUCACGCCACCUAAUAUGUCCAAAACUUCAUUAAUGGGUUUUAAAUAUUCCUGCACUUAUUCCUUAUCCUGUAUCCCCAUAUCUAGAAUGGGUCCACUUAGAUCUAGUUGCAAAAACCAAAAGCCUGUGAAUCACCAUUGACACCUCCCUAUCAUUUCGCCAAUACCCAAGGUCAGUCCACACCAAGUCCAUUGGAUUUUAUAUUGAAUAUGUCUUUUCUGUAUCUGCAUUUCCCCUUUCUAUCUCAAACAACAGAACACUAUUUUAAACCAUGAUUAUCUUUCACAAAAUCUUCAGUAACAGAAGCCUAACAGCAUCCUCUAGGUGCCUCUCUCCAAAAAUUAAUCUUUACCCAUCAGCAGGAGAGAAUGUAUCCUCUUCCACCUGCCUGGAAUAGUCUUCCCUCCCAUCUGAUUCACCUACCUUCUGCCUUCCUCUGCUGUCCAUCCCAUUUCCUCAGAGAAGCCAUUGCUAAGUCAAACUCUUUCAGUGUGCACAUGGAACACUGCAGAUCUCUCCAGAAAAGAACUUACCACAGCUGCACUGUUGUAUUUGUUUAUGUGAUUAUUUGAUUAAUAUCUGUUUAUUCACUAGAUGAUUCUCUUCUCAAGGGCAAAGACUAUGCUUUUCCCAGUGCUAGCACAGUCUUGGGGAGAUAGCACGAAUCCAGCAAAUUGUUUUGAGUGAGUGAAUGUUAAAAUGUCCAGGAAAUGUGAGAGUUUUAUAUUUCUCAUCUCUCUCCAACUGUGCCAUGGGACAGCUAGUGCUGGUCUAAAACUCCUCCAGAACACAAAGUAGAUUCAAGUGCUUUUUGUCAUCUUUAUCCCCCUGGUCUAAGAGAAUUUGAGAAGAUGUGGAAUGGCCCAACACAAAGCAUAUGUUAUGACAGAAACAAAUGCUCCGACUGUUCCUCAGUUGUGUCCACAAUGUCAAAUAUCUGCAUAAAAUCACUAAAAGUUAACUGUCCGUAUAGUAAUGUAUUUAUCAAGUGUUUGGC